UGGGGAAUAUUGGACAAUGGGCGCAAGCCUGAUCCAGCCAUGCCGCGUGUGUGAAGAAGGCCUUUUGGUUGUAAAGCACUUUAAGCGAGGAGGAGGCUACUUGGAUUAAUACUCUAAGAUAGUGGACGUUACUCGCAGAAUAAGCACCGGCUAACUCUGUGCCAGCAGCCGCGGUAAUACAGAGGGUGCGAGCGUUAAUCGGAUUUACUGGGCGUAAAGCGUGCGUAGGCGGCUUCUUAAGUCGGAUGUGAAAUCCCUGAGCUUAACUUAGGAAUUACAUUCGAUGCUGGGAAUCUAGAGUAUGGGAGAGGAUGGUAGAAUUCCAGGUGUAGCGGUGAAAUGCGUAGAGAUCUGGAGGAAUACCGAUGGCGAAGGCGGCCAUCUGGCCUAAUACUGACGCUGAGGUACGAAAGCAUGGGGAGCAAACAGG
rnacentral:rRNA from 1 species